GGCUAACUUUUAUAUUUUUAGUAGAGAUGGGGUUUUGCCAUGUUGGCCAGGCUGGUCUCGAACUCCUGACCUCAGGUGAUCCACACGCCUCGACCUCCCAAAGUGCUGGGAUUACAGGCACGAGCCACAGCACCUGGCCUUUAAUAGGCUUUCAUAACAGAAAAGUAGACAUCAGACUUUCUAAGUUCAAAACCUGGCUCUGGUGCUUACCAGCUAGCUGACCUUAAACUUAAACUAUCUAAACUUUAAUGUUCUUCCUCAUAGGAAAAAUGGGGCUAAUAAUGUUUCCUGACAUAAUGCAUUUAAAGCAUGGAUGCAUUAGGUGCUCAAUAAUUGUUAUCUAUCCCUUUGGCUUAGUAAAAACCAUUGUCAAAGUUUUUGUGUAUAUGACUUUUAAGUUUUCUCUAAAUUAUAUAGACAGUAUUUUGAAUAUUGGAAUCAUGGCAAAUAAAACUGUCCAUCUAAA
rnacentral:lncRNA from 10 species